GACGAACGCUGGCGGCGUGCUUAACACAUGCAAGUCGAACGGAAAGGCCCUGCUUUUGUGGGGUGCUCGAGUGGCGAACGGGUGAGUAACACGUGAGUAACCUGCCCUUGACUUUGGGAUACCUUCAGGAAACUGGGGCUAAUACCGGAUAGGAGCUACUGCUGCAUGGUGGGGGUUGGAAAGUUUCGGCGGUUGGGGCUGGACUCGCGGCUUAUCAGCUUGUUGGUGGGGUAGUGGCUUACCAAGGCUUUGACGGGUAGCCGGCCUGAGAGGGUGACCGGGCACAAUGGGACUGAGAUACGCACCAGACGCCUACGGGAGGCAGCAGUGGGGAAUAUUGCACAAUGGGCGGAAGCCUGAGGCAACAACGCCGCGUGCGGGAUGACGGGCUUCGGGUUAUAAACCGCUUUCGCCUGUGACGAAGCGUGAGUGACGGUAAUGGGUAAAGAAGCACCGGCUAACUACGUG
rnacentral:rRNA from 1 species